rnacentral:rRNA from 1 species
CAGUCGCCGCGGGAACACGUAGGGUGCGAGCGUUAAUCGGAAUUACUGGGCGUAAAGCGUGCGUAGGCGGUUUGUUAAGUCUGUUGUGAAAUCCCCGGGCUCAACCUGGGAAUGGCAGUGGAUACUGGCUCGCUAGAGUGUGUCAGAGGAUGGUGGAAUUCCCGGUGUAGCGGUGAAAUGCGUAGAGAUCGGGAGGAACAUCAGUGGCGAAGGCGGCCAUCUGGGACAACACUGACGCUGAGGCACGAAAGCGUGGGGAGCAAACAGGAUUAGAUACCCCCGUAGUCCCUGUCUCUUAUAC